GCCCUGAAUGGAACUGAGCUUUCACAUUCUUGUUUCGAUUAGGCCUGGCUGUCCUGGAGGUGCAGGAGAGCCAUGGUGUGUGAACCGUGUUUGUGUAGGGUGUAUGAGGUGAAAAAAUGAAGAAAAAGGUCCUUGCCAUUCUGUAGACUAAACAAUGUUUCUGGUAGCAGUAUGUUAACUGGGAAUUGCCAGCAAACAAAGCUUUAUCAACAGCUAGCGGUUAGCGGCAAUUUACACCAGAGGAACAAAUAACGCUAACAAUAACAAUUUGUCCUUGUGUUAGUGCAGCGUAUGUAAUCCGAGGAGAUGGUUUAGUAGCAUGCACAGAGUUGUUUUUUCUGGUUAGGAGCCUCAUCUCUGUCAGGAAUUGUUAGUAUGGCCAAAGUGAGACAGUUUCUGCAGUGUAGAUUAGCCCUCUGCUUUCUGGCUUUGCCUAAGUCCCACAUUAGCCAUGGGCCCUGCCCACUUUUAAAUGGAAAAAGUCAAACUGCAUUCUUGUCUGGAGUGGCAUUUUUAGUGGAGCAUGACUAUAAAAUUACAGCAAUGUAUAUUGUUGCGUGUUUUGUUUUCCUUGGAGAAAGGGAUUCAAACUGCAACUGUUAUGAGUGCGUUUUUAAAGCCCAUGCAAGUGAGGUAUUCUUUAGAGGAGGAAGGUGGAAGUGAAAUAUUAGUUGAUACUAUGUUUGCAUUGCUGAGUAAUAUCUAAAUGGUCACUUUGAGCUCAUGAGAUACUUAAUAAACAGUUAUAACUAAAUAGAGAGUUUGUCAGCAUUGAAUCAGACUUAGGAAAGUGUUAAGUAUUUGGGGGGCAAUAGAAUUGGUUACCAUCAUUUAAUAGUCAUAUUUCACCAGUUUGGCAAAUGUGUUUCUUGCAUGGAUGGAGCUUGAAGACUGACACAAACAGGCAAAUGAAUGAGCACUAAUGGAGAAACAGUGAUACCAGCCAUAGCUGCAGUGCUUUCAGCAGCUAAAAUAGAGUGAAGGAGAAGACAUGCUUGUCCGUGUUUCCAGUUUGUUUAAUAAAGUCUGGUUAAAGAACCAGGAAUGGGGUGGCUGUCAUGCCGAGUGUGCGAGGAGAGGAGACUUUUUGUCCUGUUCCCCGGUGUGACUGGGUCUGCCUGACUCCUGCUGUGUGCACUGAGGAGCACCCUGCACUGCUGGAAUUGCUUGGUUUUCUGAGAUCCAGCCACCUGUGUGGUGCAGAGAACACGGGUGGUGUCCAGAAGUAUGUCAUUGACGGGCACAUAGGGGAUCAGGAGAAACGGGCUACCUCAUACACUGUUUAGCUGUGGCAAAAUCAUUCUCUAAGGCUGACAGAUCUUUGCUUUCCUGCUGACUGUAAAGAAUUACAGUCCCUUAGAAAUCCUUUUAUCAGCUGCAGCUGUAGACAUUUCCAGACACUUUCCCCCUUCUGGAUACCUAAGACAGACAGUUACGCUUUAUUCCCCCCAGACAACAAAUGCUUUGGGCUGUGGUUUUGUUUUUUAACCCCCAUGUGUAUCACUUACUGUAUGUGGCUAGCUCAGAUUCUGCAUUUCUUUUUGGUAGUUGCCUCACUAGUAUCAUAAACCAGUCUGUACACACAGCAGGGGGGGUGGAACUAGAUGUUCUCAAGGUCCUUUCAAACACUAAUCAUUAUAUGAUUCUAUGAUAAUGAGACUCUUGGCAGAUGUUAAAUGCCAUCCCGUUAAGGAAGGUGAGUACAUCACAGAUCGGUAGUUUCCACCCUUGUAGGCUUUCCUUGGACAGAAUCUUGAUGGUCCAGGGAGAGUGACUGAGAGAAGUAAGCUGACAGACUCAAUGCAGUUUCUAAAUUGGUCUGCACAUGAAGAGCCCAUAAACUGGGGAAGGUUCACUGCAACUGUUACCAGGACCAAGGACAUCCAUCUGUGUCUGGUCUUAAUGUCUGGUGCACUCCUGUAUCAGUAAGUAAACUCAUGUAGAUGGGCACACGCAGUCUGGCUUUUCCCCUCCUUUCGAAACUGAGCUGAAGCUUGUUAAGUUCCUAGGACUGAGGUAGGACAGGGAAGGACAGACCCUUACAUGUUUUAAUGUUCCUGUGUUUUGUUUCAGGCCAGCACUUGCAGUUGGUGUGUGCUGGCUGAAUUGAACACGUGUUGUUUGCAGAGAGCUCUAGGGAGGUGUCACGUAUAUGCCGUUGCUCAUCCAGCCAGCAGAACUGAUGUGCUGAGCAGGGACAGGCUCUGCAGCCAGGAGAGCUGUUGCCCCACAAAGUGGGAGUGGAAGUCAGCAGUCCCAGCUCUGAGCAUUCUGCUGUUUUACAAGGACCCAGUCUCAUGAGCACUUCCUAACAGAUCUACCAAAAAUCAUCUCUAAGCUGUCCUUUACCUCAUCUAAUGGAAAAAAACACAGGUAGAAGCAGUCUGCACAGUUGGGAUCCUCAUAAAGGAUGGUCUGACGGAGUCCUAUGCAAACAGAAUUUUACCAGUCAGUCCUCAUGUUGUUAAAAAGGUUAAAAUUUUGGAGUUCUGGAUAUACGAGGGUUCCUGGUUUUCCUUCUAUGUUCUGUAUUUAUUGCUGUGGCAUUUUGUUUCUUUCCCCAGGUGACCCUUAUUGCUUAGAACAGGCACAUUUUGAAGACUUGAACUGUGCAAACUGUGUAGUGACAGAGAUGGUUCUUUUCAGUUACACAGUGAAGGCACAUGGUGGACGAGGCAAAUGACAGCCCUGGGUCAGUCAGAUCAUUACUGAGGAGCUGUUCUAAACCAUACUCCAAGACCCUGUCACCAGGCUGUUCUGCUGACCAGUUCACUUCUCUGUUCCUGGGAUUGCCCUGACCCAGGUGUAGGACCUUGCACUUGGCUUGGUUGAACUUCAUGAGGUUUGCACUGGCCCACUUCCCAACCCUGUCCAGGGCCCUCUGGAUGCCAUCCCCUCCAAGCAUGUCAACUGCACCACAGAGCUGGGCGUUGCCGACAGACUUGCUGAGAGUGCGCUCAAUCGCACCAUAUACUACUUCACUCCUUGCAGCUUGUACUGGUAAGAAUCAGGAAAUAUGAUCAGGUAGACAGCCUAAUGAUAGAGAAACUUUGUGAAUUUUAGUUUAUCAUUUUGCUACAGCUUCGUGUGACCUCAGAUGAAAGUUCAGCCAAGUAUGGGACUACGUUUAUUUAGAAGAUAUACAAAUAUGUAAAUACCUUGCUGUCAUGGGUAGAAUAUAACAUUAUAUACAACUGCCAGGUAUAUUAAAAUCAUGCCACAUAACUUAAGGAGAAUAAGCUUGGGGCAGUCAUGGCUACUGGAGAAGGAGCUGGGGAAAACUUAGUCAGAAAUGCAUGAAGUAGCAAAGUACUGAGCAUCUUUUUAACUGUCCUAGGACAAGGCAAUAGAGUCCUUCACCAGAUCAGUACAGUCAGCACAGAAGGGAUCCAUCCUUCUGUCCUUGCUUAUUAAGAAGACAAAGCUAAAUCUCUCCCUAUGCCAGCCC